rnacentral:rRNA from 1 species
GACAUAGGUGGCGAACGUUAUCCGGAAUUAUUGGGCGUAAAGAGCGUGUAGGCGGCCCGGUAAGUCCGCUGUGAAAGUCGGGGGCUCAACCCUCGGAUGCCGGUGGAUACUGUCGGGCUCGAGUACGGAAGAGGCGAGUGGAAUUCCUGGUGUAGCGGUGAAAUGCGCAGAUAUCAGGAGGAACACCUAUUGCGAAGGCAGCUCGCUGGGACGUUACUGACGCUGAGACGCGAAAGCGUGGGGAGCAAACAGG